CUGUAGCAGGACGCGGAGGGACAUUACAGAGUUAUACAACUCCCAUACCAUCUGUUAACCUACCCAGUUAUGCCUCGGCGUAAGCUCGGUUGGAGGCACCUGCAGCUACCCUGUAGUUGCGGACUGCCAACUCCAGCCGCGGCCCGCCGGCGGUACACUAAACUCUGUUUUAUUUUAUAUUCUGAGCGUCUUAUUUUAAUAAGUUAAAACUUUCAACAACGGAUCUCUUGGUUCUGGCAUCGAUGAAGAACGCAGCGAAAUGCGAUAAGUAAUGUGAAUUGCAGAAUUCAGUGAAUCAUCGAAUCUUUGAACGCACAUUGCGCCCAUCAGUAUUCUGGUGGGCAUGCCUGUUCGAGCGUCAUUUCAACCCUUAAGCCUAGCUUAGUGUUGGGAAUCUGCUGUACUGCAGUUCCUUAAAGACAGUGGCGGAGCGGCGGUAGUCCUCUGAGCGUAGUAAUUUAUUUCUCGCUUUUGUCAGGCUCUGUCCUCCCGCCAUAAAACCCCCAAUUUUUUAGUGGUUGACCUCGGAUCAGGUAGGAAUACCCGCUGAACUUAAGCAUAUCAAUAAGGCGGAGGA
rnacentral:rRNA from 1 species